GCGGGAAGAGCAAGCACACAAACACAAAUAAGCAGAGACAGUUGACGUUCCGUGGUGCUGGUGUUAAGUGUUUGUGUAGUGCGAUACGGGGAAUUCCUCGCUGCUGAGGGCGACGCAGCGGCAGGAACAAGGAACAAGGAAGACACUGAGGCGGCCAGGACGGCGUGACAGGUAACGUCCACUUCUUCUUACACCUUCCUCCCAGGAGCUUAUACACAUCACAUACUGAGGACCAAAAGGAAAAGAAGUGACCCAACAGCAACAAGACCAGAAAUUUAGUGGUGUGGAAGUAUGAGAAGAUAUGCCAAGAAGUCACCAGUUUCCUACCCAUCCUUUGUCAUCACACAUGUAAGUCCAAAGUUUUCUUCCCUCUGUGCUACUUGAAUAUAUUGAGUGAAAACAUGACUCGCUGUUAUGUAAAAUUAGUGUUAUGUCAAAAUUGCCUCACAAUCUGCAUCUCUUC